rnacentral:rRNA from 1 species
AACCCUUCUUUGAAUGUUUUAUUUCUACAAUUUUCUGAUCGACAGCAAGGAUUGGGCAUUUUUAAGGGUGAAAGAAUAGACUUGUAGGUUCGCCCUGCAUGAAAUGAGUUACUAUUGUAAUUUGAAAGCUCAGACUAUUCGAGUAGCUAAACCAUUCGUUCAUAUCUAUAUCGAAAAAACUGUGUGUUUUUCUCUUUAUUAUGAAGUGUCGAUGGUUUAUUUGCAGCAAUGCAAACCGCCAGCAAUCGAACCGCAUCAGAAAAGUAAUUCAAAUUUACAUUAUUUGUUAAUAAACAACUUUAACCCCUUUUGAUAAAUUGAACUAAAUUAAUUUUCAUACUCUGAUAAAAAGGAGAUGAAAUUCAUUACGAAACAAAGAACAACUCUUAGCAACGGAUAUCUUGGUUCUCGUAACGAUGAAGAACGCAGCGAAAUGCGAUACGUAAUGCGAAUUGCAGAAUUCAGUGAAUCAUCAAAUCUUUGAACGCAAAUUGCGCUUUCUGGAUAGGCCAGGGAGCAUGCCUCUUUGAGCAUCGUUUCUACCAAAACUCGUUAGCUUUGCCAGUAGAAUGGCGGAGCGAGCGGAGAUUGCGCUUCUCGCUGGAAACAGUGAGUGGCGUUAAGAAGCGUGAGUUCAUUUCACACUGUUCUAGUGUUCGACCUUUUUUGGUUUCAUUAUCAAAAAAGGGCGCCUUUCUAAACCAAAGGUUUAUACUAGUUAUGUAGAUAAAAUUUUUUUAACCACAUAACACGAGUAGAUUCAGUUGA